AUACUUACCUGGAUGGGGUCUGUGGGCGAUCAAGAAGGUCCAUGGCCUAGAUUGGUGACCUCCAUUGCACUUCGGAGGGGUGCCUGCUUAAGAUAUUUCCAAGUGGGAUAGUCUACAUCAUAAUUUGUUGCUUAGGGGGGUACGGCGUUCGCGGGGCCCCUG